rnacentral:tRNA from 2 species
GCUCCAUUAGCUCAGCUGGAUAGAGCAGGGGACUUCUAAUCCCAAGGUCGACGGUUCGAAUCCGCCAUGGAGCACCA